rnacentral:rRNA from 1 species
UACGUAGGUGGCAAGCGUUAUCCGGAAUUAUUGGGCGUAAAGCGCGCGCAGGUGGUUUCUUAAGUCUGAUGUGAAAGCCCACGGCUCAACCGUGGAGGGUCAUUGGAAACUGGGAGACUUGAGUGCAGAAGAGGAAAGUGGAAUUCCAUGUGUAGCGGUGAAAUGCGUAGAGAUAUGGAGGAACACCAGUGGCGAAGGCGGAUCUCUGGGCCUUACCUGACGCUGAGGCGCGAAAGCUAGGGGAGCGAACAGG